rnacentral:lncRNA from 1 species
GUGAGUCCUUCUCCUUAAUUCCCUCUCUAAAGGCCUCUAGCGGAAAAAAUGCACAGCCAAAAAUGAACCCAAGACAUAUGGAGGGAAAAAAAUACACAAUUUCUCAGAACUGUCCUUUGCUUUCCCAUCAGUUUUAUCACUGACCUUUAGCUAAACUCUGAAGAGAAAUGAAAUCUUCAACUUGAUAAUUAAAAACACCAAUAUGUUUAUUAUGAAACUUCCUUUUGGAUAGCACUAGCAGCUUAAGACUCCUGGAAAGAGAAAAAAAAAUGCUUUGGCCAAAGAUCAUGCCAUCAAAAGAAAGAAAGUUAACAGUCAAUGAGAUGAGCCUAGGAAUAAUAUUUGCUUGCAGAAAGAACAAUUUCAUUUUCUAUAACUUGCAAAUGCAAAAAAGUAAGCAUUUAACAAUAUUUACCAAGAAAUAAAAUAGGAAAAAAAUCCCGGUAAAGCCCAAAGAUUUUCCCAUAAAAUAGAUUCUAUAACAUUUUCAAACACUGACAUUUUUUCUCCAACGUGAGUAAUAAGCUUUUGAAUGCUAAUUCAAUAAGAUUUCUCUUAUCCUCUCACUAAGAAUGCACAUGAUCAGAAAUUAGAACAGUGUCUCAUUUGGCUCUGUAUAAACUUUUACUUCUGCUCUUAGAAGAAAGAAAUGUCCUUCCUUGGAUUACAGGAACAAGUGUGAAAGGAAAUUAAAGAAAUAAAAAGUCAUCUGCAGAGAAUUCUCCUUAGACAACAUGCUAGUAAACUCUGGCAUCUUCUGGAAUCCGAAAACUUUCCAUUAUACAUAGCAUAUAUUCAAGACAAAUAGCAGUCAGAAACUGAAAGCUCAGAGAUGUCUGCAAAAAAGAAAUCAUGCACAGAAAAUCUGAGGUCUACAGGAGUGCCAUCGGCCUGAUUUCGGAAAGGCUGGCAAAUCUUUCACGGGUUUCCUCUCAUCCUGGCUGUAUGCUGAAAAUAAAAUAGCUGGAUCCUUGUAUCUGCUUUUGCAUUCCAUCUGCGGUUGUAUUAUAUGCCACGUAGUCUCUGGAAACCUACGAGAGAAGAGGAUGAAAGGCAAAUGACGUCUUAGUAUGACUGUGAAAAGAGUGUUGCCCUCAUAGACCCCAUUGAAGCUUCUCAGGGAUCCCAUGGAUUCCCGGACCACCCUUUGAGAAACUUCUGGGGUAAAAGAUAAAUUGGAUAAAUGUGCCCACGUUUCCAUCAUCUGGACGUAUUUUUUUAAUUAUUAAAACAUUUUAAAACAUGUUUAAUCAUUCAGAAUACUACACGGCAAACAUUGUAACAAAUAUCUACAGUUUGUCUUAUUUCUUUCACAUUAAAAAUAAUAGUUCCUUACUCAAAAACCACUCCAUUUUGUUUCUCCUCAAAGGCAAAACUGUGAGAACUUCUUUUCAAAUUUCAAAUUUUCUUAGAUUCCUACAGGAUCAUAGUUGGAAAUUAAAUAUUUUUAAGAAAUAUAUGGCAAAUUGGUGACACGAAUUAUGUAACACUUUUAAAAAUGGAUGUUAGCAAUCGUUAUAGCAUCUCUAUAGCACUGACAAACUGCAUAUGGAAAGAUAUUAAUUUGGUGCUUAGGCCAUGCACCAAGAACAGAUAUAUUGUGGCAAAGCCUACAUUGAUUCCAUCAUUCACUAGGGUUCAGUGUUCUCUCUGUUAGAAACCACUGAAGUAAAUGAUCCUUAAGAUACACAGUAG